rnacentral:lncRNA from 1 species
GGAUGAAGUGCUCUCAGUAUUGGUUUUAGGGGUAUGGCGUUUCUUUGUUUCUGCUUUACCUUCUUCUUUUGUUACUCCCAGGCAUCCCAUUAAUUCCUGAACUGACAAGGAUUUAUCAUUGUUCACAUCACAGUAUUCCACAAAUUUCUUCACACAUUUUUUGGGCUUUGACUUCUUUCUUAGGAACCUUUUAAAUGGCUUGAUUUCUUUCUUUCCAAUGUCA